rnacentral:rRNA from 1 species
AUUGAACGCUGGCGGCAGGCCUAACACAUGCAAGUCGAGCGGUAGCACAGAGAGCUUGCUCUCGGGUGACGAGCGGCGGACGGGUGAGUAAUGUCUGGGAAACUGCCUGAUGGAGGGGGAUAACUACUGGAAACGGUAGCUAAUACCGCAUAAUGUCGCAAGACCAAAGUGGGGGACCUUCGGGCCUCAUGCCAUCAGAUGUGCCCAGAUGGGAUUAGCUAGUAGGUGGGGUAACGGCUCACCUAGGCGACGAUCCCUAGCUGGUCUGAGAGGAUGACCAGCCACACUGGAACUGAGACACGGUCCAGACUCCUACGGGAGGCAGCAGUGGGGAAUAUUGCACAAUGGGCGCAAGCCUGAUGCAGCCAUGCCGCGUGUGUGAAGAAGGCCUUCGGGUUGUAAAGCACUUUCGGCGGGGAGGAAGGCGGUGAGGUUAAUAACCUCAUCGAUUGACGUUACCCGCAGAAGAAGCACCGGCUAACUCCGUGCCAGCAGCCGCGGUAAUACGGAGGGUGCAAGCGUUAAUCGGAAUUACUGGGCGUAAAGCGCACGCAGGCGGUCUGUCAAGUCGGAUGUGAAAUCCCCGGGCUCAACCUGGGAACUGCAUUCGAAACUGGCAGGCUAGAGUCUUGUAGAGGGGGGUAGAAUUCCAGGUGUAGCGGUGAAAUGCGUAGAGAUCUGGAGGAAUACCGGUGGCGAAGGCGGCCCCCUGGACAAAGACUGACGCUCAGGUGCGAAAGCGUGGGGAGCAAACAGGAUUAGAUACCCUGGUAGUCCACGCCGUAAACGAUGUCGAUUUGGAGGUUGUGCCCUUGAGGCGUGGCUUCCGAGCUAACGCGUUAAAUCGACCGCCUGGGGAGUACGGCCGCAAGGUUAAAACUCAAAUGAAUUGACGGGGGCCCGCACAAGCGGUGGAGCAUGUGGUUUAAUUCGAUGCAACGCGAAGAACCUUACCUGGUCUUGACAUCCACAGAACUUUCCAGAGAUGGAUUGGUGCCUUCGGGAACUGUGAGACAGGUGCUGCAUGGCUGUCGUCAGCUCGUGUUGUGAAAUGUUGGGUUAAGUCCCGCAACGAGCGCAACCCUUAUCCUUUGUUGCCAGCGGUUCGGCCGGGAACUCAAAGGAGACUGCCAGUGAUAAACUGGAGGAAGGUGGGGAUGACGUCAAGUCAUCAUGGCCCUUACGACCAGGGCUACACACGUGCUACAAUGGCAUAUACAAAGAGAAGCGACCUCGCGAGAGCAAGCGGACCUCAUAAAGUAUGUCGUAGUCCGGAUUGGAGUCUGCAACUCGACUCCAUGAAGUCGGAAUCGCUAGUAAUCGUAGAUCAGAAUGCUACGGUGAAUACGUUCCCGGGCCUUGUACACACCGCCCGUCACACCAUGGGAGUGGGUUGCAAAAGAAGUAGGUAGCUUAACCUUCGGGAGGGCGCUUACCACUUUGUGAUUCAUGACUGGGGUGA